rnacentral:rRNA from 1 species
AUCAACGCUGGCGGCGUGCCUCAGACAUGCAAGUCGAACGAUUAAAGCUCCCUUCGGGGAGUGCAUAAAGUGGCGCACGGGUGAGUAACACGUAAGUAAUCUACCCUCGAGUGGGGAAUAACAACCGGAAACGGUUGCUAAUACCGCAUAAUGCAGCGGCACCGCAAGGUGACAGUUGUUAAAGAUUUAUCGCUUGAGGAGGAGCUUGCGGCAGAUUAGCUAGUUGGUAAGGUAAUGGCUUACCAAGGCUACGAUCUGUAACCGGUCUAAGAGGACGGUCGGUCACACUGACACUGAAUAACGGUCAGACUCCUACGGGAGGCAGCAGUCGGGAAUUUUGGGCAAUGGCGAAAGCCUGACCCAGCAACGCCGCGUGAAGGAUGAAGUAUUUCGGUAUGUAAACUUCGAAAGAAUAGGAAGAAUUAAUGACGGUACUAUUUAUAAGGUCCGGCUAACUACGUGCCAGCAGCCGCGGUAAUACGUAGGGACCAAGCGUUGUUCGGAUUUACUGGGCGUAAAGGGCGCGUAGGCGGCGUGGUAAGUCACUUGUGAAAUCUCUGAGCUUAACUCAGAACGGCCAAGUGAUACUGCUGUGCUAGAGUGCGGAAGGGGCAAUCGGAAUUCUUGGUGUAGCGGUGAAAUGUGUAGAUAUCAAGAGGAACACCUGAGGUGAAGACGGGUUGCUGGGCCGACACUGACGCUGAUGCGCGAAAGCCAGGGGAGCAAACGGGAUUAGAUACCCCGGUAGUCCUGGCCCUAAACGAUGAAUACUUGGUGUCUGGAGUCUUAAUGCUCCGGGUGCCGUCGCUAACGUUUUAGUAUUCCGCCUGGGAGUACGCUCGCAAGAGUGAAACUCAAAGAAUUGACGGGACCCGCACAAGCGGUGGAGCAUGUGGUUUAAUUCGACGCAACGCGAAAGAACCUUACCUGGACUAGAAUGUGAGGGAAGAAAGGGUAAUUCCGAUCGUCUGGGCAACCAGACCCAAAACAAGGUUGCUGCAUGGCUGUCGUCAGCUCGUGUCGUGAGAUGUUGGGUUAAGUCCCGCAACGAGCGCAACCCCUAUUGAUAGUUGCUUAACAUUAAGUUGAGAACUCUAUCAAGACUGCUGUUGAUAAAACGGAGGAAGGCGGGGAUGAUGUCGAGUCAUCAUGGCCUUUAUGUUCAGGGCUACACACGUGCUACAAUGGCCGGUACAAAACGUCGCAAUCUCGUAAGAGGGAGCUAAUCGCAAAACCGGUCUCAGUUCGGAUGGAGUCUGCAACUCGACUCCAUGAAGUUGGAAUCGCUAGUAAUCGCAAAUCAGCAUGUUGCGGUGAAUACGUUCCCGGGUCUUGUACACACCGCCCGUCACAUCACGAAAGUAGGUUGUACUAGAAGUAGCUGGGCCAACUCGCAAGAGAGGCAGGUUACCACGGUAUGAUUUAUGAUUGGGGUG